rnacentral:rRNA from 1 species
UACGUAGGGGGCAAGCGUUGUCCGGAAUUAUUGGGCGUAAAGAGCUCGUAGGCGGUUUGUUGCGUCGGCCGUGAAAACCUGCAGCUUAACUGUGGGCCUGCGGCCGAUACGGGCAGACUUGAGUUCGGUAGGGGAGACUGGAAUUCCUGGUGUAGCGGUGAAAUGCGCAGAUAUCAGGAGGAACACCGGUGGCGAAGGCGGGUCUCUGGGCCGAUACUGACGCUGAGGAGCGAAAGCGUGGGGAGCGAACAGG